rnacentral:rRNA from 1 species
AUUGAACGCUGGCGGCAGGCCUAACACAUGCAAGUCGAACGGUAGCACAGAGAGCUUGCUCUCGGGUGACGAGUGGCGGACGGGUGAGUAAUGUCUGGGAAACUGCCCGAUGGAGGGGGAUAACUACUGGAAACGGUAGCUAAUACCGCAUAACGUCGCAAGACCAAAGAGGGGGACCUUCGGGCCUCUUGCCAUCGGAUGUGCCCAGAUGGGAUUAGCUUGUAGGUGAGGUAACGGCUCACCUAGGCGACGAUCCCUAGCUGGUCUGAGAGGAUGACCAGCCACACUGGAACUGAGACACGGUCCAGACUCCUACGGGAGGCAGCAGUGGGGAAUAUUGCACAAUGGGCGCAAGCCUGAUGCAGCCAUGCCGCGUGUGUGAAGAAGGCCUUAGGGUUGUAAAGCACUUUUACCCGGGAAGAUAAUGACGGUACCGGGAGAAUAAGCCCCGGCUAACUUCGUGCCAGCAGC